CCUACGGGUGGCAGCAGUGAGGAAUAUUGGUCAAUGGGCGAGAGCCUGAACCAGCCAAGUCGCGUGAGGGAGUACUGCCCUAUGGGUUGUAAACCUCUUUUGUCGGGGAGCAAAAGCCGGACGUGUCCGUCUGUGAGAGUACCCGAAGAAAAAGCAUCGGCUAACUCCGUGCCAGCAGCCGCGGUAAUACGGGGGAUGCGAGCGUUAUCCGGGUUUAUUGGGGUUAAAGGGGGCGCAGGCGGAUUUUUAAGUCAGCGGUCAAAUCGUGGGGCUAAACCCCAUCCAGCCGUUGAAACUGGGGGUCUAGAGUGUGGGAGAGGUAUGCGGAAUGCGUGGUGCAGCGGUGAAAUGCAUAGAUAUCACGCAGAACCCCGAUUGCGAAGGCAGCAUACCGGUGCACAACUGACGCUCAGGCACGAAAGCGUGGGUAUCGAACAGGAUUAGAUACCCUAGUAGUC
rnacentral:rRNA from 1 species